AUGAACGCUGGCGGCGUGCCUCAUACAUGCAAGUCGAGCGAACAGACGAGGAGCUUGCUCCUCUGACGUUAGCGGCGGACGGGUGAGUAACACGUGGAUAACCUACCUAUAAGACUGGGAUAACUACGGGAAACCGGAGCUAAUACCGGAUAAUAUAUUGAACCGCAUGGUUCAAUAGUGAAAGACGGUUUUGCUGUCACUUAUAGAUGGAUCCGCGCCGCAUUAGCUAGUUGGUAAGGUAACGGCUUACCAAGGCGACGAUGCGUAGCCGACCUGAGAGGGUGAUCGGCCACACUGGAACUGAGACGCGGUCCAGACUCCUACGGGAGGCAGCAGUAGGGAAUCUUCCGCAAUGGGCGAAAGCCUGACGGAGCAACGCCGCGUGAGUGAUGAAGGUCUUCGGAUCGUAAAACUCUGUUAUUAGGGAAGAACAAAUGUGUAAGUAACUAUGCACGUCUUGACGGUACCUAAUCAGAAAGCCACGGCUAACUACGUG
rnacentral:rRNA from 1 species